GACGAACGCUGGCGGCGUGCCUAAUACAUGCAAGUCGAACGAGAGCGACCGGUGCUUGCACUGGUCAAUCUAGUGGCGAACGGGUGAGUAACACGUGGGUAACCUGCCCAUCAGAGGGGGAUAACAUUCGGAAACGGAGGCUAAAACCGCAUAGGUCUUCGAACCGCAUGGUUUGAAGAGGAAAAGAGGCGCAAGCUUCUGCUGAUGGAUGGACCCGCGGUGCAUUAGCUAGUUGGUGAGGUAACGGCUCACCAAGGCCGUGAUGCAUAGCCGACCUGAGAGGGUGAUCGGCCACAUUGGGACUGAGACACGGCCCAAACUCCUACGGGAGGCAGCAGUAGGGAAUCUUCCGCAAUGGACGCAAGUCUGACGGAGCAACGCCGCGUGAGUGAAGAAGGUUUUCGGAUCGUAAAACUCUGUUGUUAGAGAAGAAUAAGUGCUAGAGUAACUGUUAGCGCCUUGACGGUAUCUAACCAGAAAGCCACGGCUAACUACGUG
rnacentral:rRNA from 1 species